rnacentral:rRNA from 1 species
GGGACACGUGGUAUCCUGUCUGAAUAUGGGGGGACCAUCCUCCAAGGCUAAAUACUCCUGACUGACCGAUAGUGAACCAGUACCGUGAGGGAAAGGCGAAAAGAACCCCGGCGAGGGGAGUGAAAAAGAACCUGAAACCGUGUACGUACAAGCAGUGGGAGCCUCUUAAUGGGGUGACUGCGUACCUUUUGUAUAAUGGGUCAGCGACUUAUAUUCUGUAGCAAGGUUAACCGAAUAGGGGAGCCGAAGGGAAACCGAGUCUUAACUGGGCGUUAAGUUGCAGGGUAUAGACCCGAAACCCGGUGAUCUAGCCAUGGGCAGGUUGAAGGUUGGGUAACACUAACUGGAGGACCGAACCGACUAAUGUUGAAAAAUUAGCGGAUGACUUGUGGCUGGGGGUGAAAGGCCAAUCAAACCGGGAGAUAGCUGGUUCUCCCCGAAAGCUAUUUAGGUAGCGCCUCGUGAAUUCAUCUCCGGGGGUAGAGCACUGUUUCGGCAAGGGGGUCAUCCCGACUUACCAACCCGAUGCAAACUGCGAAUACCGGAGAAUGUUAUCACGGGAGACACACGGCGGGUGCUAACGUCCGUCGUGAAGAGGGAAACAACCCAGACCGCCAGCUAAGGUCCCAAAGUCAUGGUUAAGUGGGAAACGAUGUGGGAAGGCCCAGACAGCCAGGAUGUUGGCUUAGAAGCAGCCAUCAUUUAAAGAAAGCGUAAUAGCUCACUGGUCGAGUCGGCCUGCGCGGAAGAUGUAACGGGGCUAAACCAUGCACCGAAGCUGCGGCAGCGACACUAUGUGUUGUUGGGUAGGGGAGCGUUCUGUAAGCCUGUGAAGGUGGCCUGUGAGGGUUGCUGGAGGUAUCAGAAGUGCGAAUGCUGACAUAAGUAACGAUAAAGCGGGUGAAAAGCCCGCUCGCCGGAAGACCAAGGGUUCCUGUCCAACGUUAAUCGGGGCAGGGUGAGUCGACCCCUAAGGCGAGGCCGAAAGGCGUAGUCGAUGGGAAACAGGUUAAUAUUCCUGUACUUGGUGUUACUGCGAAGGGGGGACGGAGAAGGCUAUGUUGGCCGGGCGACGGUUGUCCCGGUUUAAGCGUGUAGGCUGGUUUUCCAGGCAAAUCCGGAAAACCAAGGCUGAGGCGUGAUGACGAGGCACUACGGUGCUGAAGCGACAAAUGCCCUGCUUCCAGGAAAAGCCUCUAAGCAUCAGGUAACAUCAAAUCGUACCCCAAACCGACACAGGUGGUCAGGUAGAGAAUACCAAGGCGCUUGAGAGAACUCGGGUGAAGGAACUAGGCAAAAUGGUGCCGUAACUUCGGGAGAAGGCACGCUGAUAUGUAGGUGAAGCGACUUGCUCGUGGAGCUGAAAUCAGUCGAAGAUACCAGCUGGCUGCAACUGUUUAUUAAAAACACAGCACUGUGCAAACACGAAAGUGGACGUAUACGGUGUGACGCCUGCCCGGUGCCGGAAGGUUAAUUGAUGGGGUUAGCGGCAACGCGAAGCUCUUGAUCGAAGCCCCGGUAAACGGCGGCCGUAACUAUAACGGUCCUAAGGUAGCGAAAUUCCUUGUCGGGUAAGUUCCGACCUGCACGAAUGGCGUAAUGAUGGCCAGGCUGUCUCCACCCGAGACUCAGUGAAAUUGAACUCGCUGUGAAGAUGCAGUGUACCCGCGGCAAGACGGAAAGACCCCGUGAACCUUUACUAUAGCUUGACACUGAACAUUGAGCCUUGAUGUGUAGGAUAGGUGGGAGGCUUUGAAGUGUGGACGCCAGUCUGCAUGGAGCCGACCUUGAAAUACCACCCUUUAAUGUUUGAUGUUCUAACGUUGGCCCGUAAUCCGGGUUGCGGACAGUGUCUGGUGGGUAGUUUGACUGGGGCGGUCUCCUCCUAAAGAGUAACGGAGGAGCACGAAGGUUGGCUAAUCCUGGUCGGACAUCAGGAGGUUAGUGCAAUGGCAUAAGCCAGCUUGACUGCGAGCGUGACGGCGCGAGCAGGUGCGAAAGCAGGUCAUAGUGAUCCGGUGGUUCUGAAUGGAAGGGCCAUCGCUCAACGGAUAAAAGGUACUCCGGGGAUAACAGGCUGAUACCGCCCAAGAGUUCAUAUCGACGGCGGUGUUUGGCACCUCGAUGUCGGCUCAUCACAUCCUGGGGCUGAAGUAGGUCCCAAGGGUAUGGCUGUUCGCCAUUUAAAGUGGUACGCGAGCUGGGUUUAGAACGUCGUGAGACAGUUCGGUCCCUAUCUGCCGUGGGCGCUGGAGAACUGAGGGGGGCUGCUCCUAGUACGAGA